rnacentral:rRNA from 1 species
GAUGAACGCUGGCGGCGUGCCUAAUACAUGCAAGUCGAGCGAACAGACGAGGAGCUUGCUCCUCUGACGUUAGCGGCGGACGGGUGAGUAACACGUGGAUAACCUACCUAUAAGACUGGGAUAACUUCGGGAAACCGGAGCUAAUACCGGAUAAUAUAUUGAACCGCAUGGUUCAAUAGUGAAAGACGGUUUUGCUGUCACUUAUAGAUGGAUCCGCGCCGCAUUAGCUAGUUGGUAAGGUAACGGCUUACCAAGGCAACGAUGCGUAGCCGACCUGAGAGGGUGAUCGGCCACACUGGAACUGAGACACGGUCCAGACUCCUACGGGGGGCAGCAGUAGGGAAUCUUCCGCAAUGGGCGAAAGCCUGACGGAGCAACGCCGCGUGAGUGAUGAAGGUCUUCGGAUCGUAAAACUCUGUUAUUAGGGAAGAACAAAUGUGUAAGUAACUAUGCACGUCUUGACGGUACCUAAUCAGAAAGCCACGGCGAACUACGU